CUCACCGCAGUACACUGUAAAUCUUUCAGCUUUCCUCCAGGGGGUCUGAACCCACAAACCUUGAGCUCUUAAAACAUUUGACCUCUAAACCGCACAGUGGCAUCAGAUGCUUCCAGAGAGCUGAGUGAAUCCCCGGUUAACCGCUCACUCCCUCAAGUUCAAAGCUGGGCUGUCCUGUAGUGAAAAACAGUCAUUGUAAGUAAGAACAUUUACUGUGAACUGUUAUGACUAAACAUUGUUUUUCUGUGUUCAGCCCAAAGGGAAUCCACAGUGAUCAUGAGCCUCACGACGUCACUGUGUAUGAAGAACCUUAGAUCUUGCCCUGAAAAUAAGCAUCAUCCUUUGUUUUAACAUCUCAUUUGUGUUCCACGUAGAAAGAAAGUCAAUCAAAACGACAUGAGGAGACCUUCAGGAUGAAUACAGUAGCUGCUGCAGGAUGUGACAGGGUGAAAGGAAAGCGGAGAGGACAGUAGCUGAGACCGCGGGCCUUUCGCUGCAGCGUGAGGGUCGUGUACCUGUGGGUGGAGUGAGUGGGCAC